CGCAGCCACCGGCCGCGCCCGGCGGGCAGCUACUCUCAGAGCUGGAUAGCUUCUACUCGGAGGUCGGCCUGAUGGACGAGGUGUCCGCGCCGCCCACCGCCACCCUGCCGCCCACCCCGUCACCGCCACCACCGCCGGUUGGGCCGCUGGCUGGCAAGGCCGAGCCGCCGACACACGCCAAGAAGAAGAAAAAGGCAAAGAUGGUCACUGCUCUUGUGCACAAAAAGAAAGGCGUGGACAAGCUGGUGGCCAAAUGGAAGACUGUGCAGAAAGAGAUGCGGUAGACUACAGCUGUGUUCGGCUUGCUGUGCUUGCUUUCCCUUGCGAGCAAACAUGAUCUGCGGGUUGCGGUGCAAGUGUGCAAGUGAAAUGCUCACGUGAUGCAAAUACAGGACACCUAGACGUC